AUGCUGUUUUGUUUCCCCUGCUUAAAGCAUUUGAUACAUAACAAUCUCUGUCUAACUCCAUUCUAGAGUAAGACAGAGAUGCUUGGUCUCAAACAU
ensembl:snoRNA SNORA63 Small nucleolar RNA SNORA63